rfam:Schistosoma mattheei strain Denwood, Zambia genome assembly, scaffold: SMTD_scaffold0003926
ACCCAGCUAACGUGUCCCAAAUGGGACGAAACGUGCGUCCUGGAU